rnacentral:rRNA from 1 species
GGAGUAGCCCGGAGAUGGGUACUGAGACACGGACCCAGGCCCUAUGGGGCGCAGCAGGCGAGAAAACUUUGCAAUGUGCGAAAGCACGACAAGGUUAAUCCGAGUGGUUUCUGCUAAAGAAACCUUUUGUCAGUCCUAGAAACACUAACGAAUAAGGGGUGGGCAAGUUCUGGUGUCAGCCGCCGCGGUAAAACCAGCACCUCAAGUGGUCAGGAUGAUUAUUGGGCCUAAAGCAUCCGUAGCUCGUUUUGUAAGUUUUCGGUUAAAUCCAUGCGCUUAACGUAUGGGCUGCCGGGAAUACUGCAUAACUAGGAAGUGGGAGAGGUAGACGGUACUCGGUAGGAAGGGGUAAAAUCCUUUGAUCUAUUGAUGACCACCUGUGGCGAAGGCGGUCUACCAGAACACGUUCGACGGUGAGGGAUGAAAGCUGGGGGAGCAAACCGGAUUAGAUACCCGGGUAGUCCCAGCUGUAAACUAUGCAAACUCAGUGAUGCAUUGGCUUAUGGCCAAUGCAGUGCUGCAGGGAAGCCGUUAAGUUUGCCGCCUGGGAAGUACGUACGCAAGUAUGAAACUUAAAGGAAUUGGCGGGGGAGCACCACAAGGGGUGAAGCCUGCGGUUCAAUUGGAGUCAACGCCAGAAAUCUUACCCGGAGAGACAGCAGAAUGAAGGUCAAGCUGAAGACUUUACCAGACAAGC